rnacentral:rRNA from 1 species
GUCGACGAUGACCUCACUUGUGGGGGGAUUAGUGGCGAACGGGUGAGUAACACGUGAGUAACCUGCCCUUAACUCUGGGAUAAGCCUGGGAAACUGGGUCUAAUACCGGAUAUGACUCCUCAUCGCAUGGUGGGGGGUGGAAAGCUUUUUGUGGUUUUGGAUGGACUCGCGGCCUAUCAGCUUGUUGGUGAGGUAAUGGCUUACCAAGGCGACGACGGGUAGCCGGCCUGAGAGGGUGACCGGCCACACUGGGACUGAGACACGGCCCAGACUCCUACGGGAGGCAGCAGUGGGGAAUAUUGCACAAUGGGCGCAAGCCUGAUGCAGCGACGCCGCGUGAGGGAUGACGGCCUUCGGGUUGUAAACCUCUUUCAGUAGGGAAGAAGCGAAAGUGACGGUACCUGCAGAAGAAGCGCCGGCUAACUACGUGCCAGCAGCCGCGGUAAUACGUAGGGCGCAAGCGUUAUCCGGAAUUAUUGGGCGUAAAGAGCUCGUAGGCGG